GACAGAGGUGCCGAGCGUUAGGCGGAAUCACUGGGCUUAAAGCGUGUGUAGGCGGAUCGUUAAGUGCCUUGUGAAAUCCCACGGCUCAACCGUGGAACUGCUCGGCAUACUGGCGAUCUUGAGCCACUUAGGGGCUACCGGAACAAAUGGUGGAGCGGUGAAAUGCGUAGAUAUCGCUUGGAACGCCGAAGGUGAAAACAGGCUGCUGGGGUUGUGCCGACGCUGAGACACGAAAGCCAGGGGAGCAAACGGG
rnacentral:rRNA from 1 species